GGGGGGCUUGAAAAGGUUUUGCAAAAAUUAAAGAACUCAAUAAAGACACAGAUGCAAACAACUAAUUUAAGCUAGCAUGGUAAUUAAACUAACACUAUUAAAGACCUUNGCAAACAACUAAUUUAAGCUAGCAUGGUAAUUAAACUAACACUAUUAAAGACCUUAGACAACAUUCAAACAUCAAACAUUGCUACAAACAAAUUAACAAACACAGUUAAAAAUAAUUAAAUUCAACACUAGUUCAAACACAUUAAACUCAACCUAUUAACUCGAUUAAUUAAAAACCAAAGAAACCGACAAGCCUAACUUAAUCCUAGCAAUUAACUUGACUAAAUGACAAUUAACAAUUAAUUUUAAAAGUCCAAUUGGCCAAAAAGAACCUCAUGGCCGUGCACCACACUCCACCAAGUCCACUUCAAUUUUUACUCUUCAAGAAACCAUCCAAUUUGUUGUCUUUUUGUCCUCAUGUGCACCAUUUCUCAAAAGGAGUUAAAUUAUACUUAAAACAAUCCAUUUGAAACCAUGCCCUUACUCCUUUCAUGCAGCAAAUUCGGAUUCCAAUACCAAGGCACAAAUUUAUGUGAGCAAGAAAGAAGUGGCUACCAAAAAGUACUUCCAAACCAAAGGGUAAAUGAAUGUAACCAUGGGUGGUUCUACCAAUGUGCCAAGUAAGCUAAAUCAAAUGUAAAAAAACUCCAAAAACCUCCAAACACCGUUAAGUUUCUGCAGCAACAAUGCAAGAGCCAUGCUCAAAGUGGAAACCUUCCUAGAAUGACAAGAAGCAUCUUUUUUGGUUUGCCCAAAAAUGGUAAAAAAUUAAUGGCACCAUCUCUCCUCCUUUCCAUCUCCAAUUUCGGUUUUUCUUCUCAACCAACACACCUCCAGCUUGUUCUUCUUCCUCACACCGAAAAAACUCACCUAAAAGACCCCAUUUCAAAGUUCAAAUUCAUUCAAGAACAUAAACCCAAACCACUACUACUUCAACUCAACCCAAUCUUCUAUUUCUUCAAGCUCUUGUGCAAAAACGAAAAUAACAAUUCAACCUUCAAUUCCAGCACUGUUCAGCCACCAAAACACCAUCAAACUCUGGUCCCAAACUGUUUUCAAACAUCCAAACCGAAAUAUAGAAGGAAAGAGGCAAACCCACAACACCCAUACAACACCUUAAGCUCUCUUCAACCCAAAACUCACACAGAACUCCAUUUUCAUCAAGCAACCAACCAAAAUGCCAAGGAAACCGUGAAUAACAGCAGCAAAUGAGUAGGAAAAUGAAAAUAUAACUUCACUCAAACCCAAAAACCUCCAUGGAAAGGCAAAGACAAGCUUAAAAGCUCAAGCUUCAAACACCAAGAACAAGCAAAAGGAGGUAGAAAAGAACGGAUUUUCACCACCAAUGAGUUAAGACAACCAAGAGUAAGUCAAGGGAGGAAGAAAAUCUGCAUCAUAUUCAUUGAAAAUGGUCCAAAACCGUGGCACCAAGCAAGCACCAUGAGAGCAUGUUCAAAAUAAGAGAAACCCUAGAAGAAAGAAGCAAAAACCAUGAGCUAUGGGUCUCUAAGUGUGUGGCUCGGUAUUCACACCCUAUAUGACCAAGAAUUACUAUUUGGUAGGGUCCACACACUACAAGUCAGCCCUAAAGAGAUGUCACAUGGCCCCCACAUUUGGUUUUUUACAAAAAUGCCCCUAAAAGGGUCCAAAACACCUAAUUCUAAUUAGGGCUUCUAGAAAACGAAAUUACAACUUUAAUUAGAAUUUAAAUGACUAAGUGUUGUGCCUUUGAAUGUGUCACACCAUAUCCCAAUGCUCCAGAUGAUGUUUCCACAACUUCCCUGCAACCAGAAAUGCGCUUAAUCAGCUUAGAAAAUCCAAAUUAGCACAAUUACGAAUUUCUGACCAAAUUAAGCAGAAUUUGGAAAACGGGGAACUAACAGACAAUUAAACACAAUUCUCUGGUUUAUUUAAGUGCAAUAAACUAAAUAUAGUUUAAGAAUUAACGACUCGUCAAUUAUGAUGAAUUGGCUAGAUUGGUUCCUCUUCUUGUUUUGUUUUUGUAUAUAUGUGUGCAUCUUGUCUCUUACAGUUUUGUUCAGAAAAAAAAAAGAGAGAGAGAAAGAGAUAGGAUGAGAAAAAGAAAAAAAAACAGAAAAAUAGUGAAAAAUGAAAAAAAAAAAUUGUGAAUAAUGGAGUCAAGAAGAGGAUGACAUUAGAGGUUGUGGGUGUGUUUGAAUGUGUUUACACUUGUUCCCCAUUGCUCCUCUAUUCCUUAUGGUUUGUAGCUUCUUAUCCAGAUGUAUCCUCCCUUGUCGUUGGCCCCAUUACAACCAUAAAAAUACCUUUUGAUUUGAAUAUGCGUAUAUGCUUGAGUGUUGAUAUUAGAGGCUUGCC
rnacentral:lncRNA from 1 species